GACGAACGCUGGCGGCGUGCUUAACACAUGCAAGUCGAACGGAAAGGCCCUGCUUUUGUGGGGUGCUCGAGUGGCGAACGGGUGAGUAACACGUUAGUAACCUGCCCUUGACUUUGGGAUAACUUCAGGAAACUGGGGCUAAUACCGGAUAGGAGCUCCUGCUGCAUGGUGGGGGUUGGAAAGUUUCGGCGGUUGGGGAUGGACUCGCGGCUUAUCAGCUUGUUGGUGGGGUAGUGGAUUACCAAGGCUUUGACGGGUAGCCGGCCUGAGAGGGUGACCGGCCACAUUGGGACUGAGAUACGGCCCAGACUCCUAAGGGAGGCAGCAGUGGGGAAUAUUGCACAAUGGGCGGAAGCCUGAUGCAGCAACGCCGCGUGCGGGAUGACGGCCUUCGGGUUGUAAACCGCUUUCGCCUGUGACGAAGCGUGAGUGACGGUAAUGGGUAAAGAAGCACCGGAUAACUACGUG
rnacentral:rRNA from 1 species